CUUCCAGAGUAAAGUGUGUGUGUGUGUACUGUAUGCGACACCAAGAAGGGAGAAGGAGAGUUGAUUUUUAUCUCUAAAAAAUUAUGGAAAUCUUGAUGAAAAAGACAUUAGUAGCAAUGCCCACUUGAUUGUUAAAUCUCCAGGAACACAAGUGAUUAAGAUUGAAGAUAAGAAAGGGGCACCGCUAUCAUCGUCUUUAAUUGACAAAGGUAACGCUCACAUGUAAUAGCUUUGGAAUGAAGAUCUCAGAAUUGAAAGAAUGGAUCCAAGUUUUUGUAAAAUCAUAAAUUUCAUGUUAUUUUGGUACUCAUGGUCUUUAUAAUUAGGAAAUCAAUGUUUUUAUACUUUUGUAAAGGUUCAAUCUACCUUCUACAUUUGAUGAAAACGUGUUGUAAUAUUUUAAGAUUUGUGAACCUUUUUA